NNCAGAGACCAGGGGUGGACUUCAGCCCAGUCUAGGUCCAGUGGAAAACAUGCAUUGCACUUGUCCUGUCUGAGCAGAGAAAGGGCCGAACUUCCCAAAGGCUCUACCUUAGGAGGUGGGAGUGUCAACAGGGGUUGGUCAUCUUGGGUUGAACUGAAAGGUCAACUCAGUUGACCUCUAAGGCAGUUUCAACGCCAGCACCUCUAUUCCCUACCCUCCACCAACUGCUUGCGGGGUUGGUGGGGGAAAGAGGCANNNNNNNNAAGAAAACAAAGCAUGAGGAAAAUGAGGGGCACGUCAUGACAGGUGUGGGUCUUUGCUGGGUCAGACACCUCAGGAGGCAGGCUCAGGCCUCCCUCUAAGUCCUGCAAUUAGAGAAUUAUUCUGGAAGCCCAGGCAAGUACCUCUGAAGCACAGCCUUCUCCUCUCAUUCUCUGACUGACUUACUCAACAGACGUUUGUUGACUGCUGAGCCUUCUGUUUGGAAACUAGGGCUACACUGCUGCCCAAAUGUUUGUUUGCAACCAAAACAAACACAGAGCCUAUGGAGCUUAUUGUCUGGUGGGGAAAACAGGAACUUGCAAAUAAAGACAAAAAUCAAUGGAACAAUUGCAGCCUGGUGCAUUGGUAUCAAGAGGACGAGGAGAAAACUACUUGUUUACGACGUCCAGGAGGACUGGAUGCAAUCAGGGAAGGCUUCCUGGAGGGAGUGACAAUUGAGUUAAAAUACAAGGAAUGAGAAGCGGCAAAGAAAGGGAGAGGCUAGCAUGAGUCAAGACCCUUGGGCAGGAAGCAGCAGGGAAAGUUCUGGAAACCGAAAGAAAGUCAAUGUGGUAAGAGGACAGAGAUUUAAGGAGAGAGCAGUGAGAAAUGAGACCAGAGGGGGCUCAUCUAGGCAGGGGCUAGAUUACUGGAGAGGGGGCUGGGGUGACUCAGGGGUCCAUCUUUAUCCUAAGAGUAACAAAAUCAUUGGUGUGAUUUACCUGGGGAUGGGAGGCGUGAGAAAGACACACCCAGAUUUGAGUUUCAAGAAGACCCCUUUGUGUUUGAAAAUGGUAUGGAGGGGGAACCACUCCCCGCCAGCUUCACCUGUCCGCCCACCCUCACCACACCCUUCCGGGGCCAGAAUGCUGCCACCUGCCCUUGGUAAGCUGGUGCCGGGAACUGCCCUCACCCUGGUCUGCCCUGCCCUGCCCUCUGCACUCCUGGCUGGCACCAUUCGUGGCUGCAAGAAUGUCCCUUUCUCUACUGCCUUCCACGGGCCCCCGUCUGCGGCUCCCACCACUGGCUCCCAGGUACAGGGGACAAUCCUCUCCCAGGUAGAAUGA
rnacentral:lncRNA from 1 species